UUGCACUGUUCGUAACCUGUUGUGACAGCCUUUUCUGCUAAUGGGUUCCAUUCCAGUGCUACAAUAAAACCUGUUACGAGAAUAAACAGGUUAUUUUGCCUGCUUGUCGUCUCUGUUGUGGGUUACAUCA
ensembl:snoRNA